ensembl:snRNA U6 U6 spliceosomal RNA
GUGCUGGCUUCAGCAUCACUUAUACUAAAAUUGGAAUAAUCCAGAGAAGAUUAGCCUGGUCCCUGCUCGAGGAUGACAUGCAAAUUUGUGAAGUGUUCCAGACUUUU